rnacentral:rRNA from 1 species
ACGGAAGGCAGCAGUGGGGAAUAUUGCACAAUGGGGGAAACCCUGAUGUAGCAACGCCGCGUGAGUGAAGAAGUAUUUCGGUAUGUAAAGCUCUAUCAGCAGGGAAGAUAAUGACGGUACCUGACUAAGAAGCUCCGGCUAAAUACGUGCCAGCAGCCGCGGUAAUACGUAUGGAGCAAGCGUUAUCCGGAUUUACUGGGUGUAAAGGGUGCGUAGGUGGCAUGGUAAGUCAGAUGUGAAAUACCGGGGCUCAACCCCGGAGCUGCAUUUGAAACUGCCAGGCUGGAGUGCAGGAGAGGCAAGCGGAAUUCCUAGUGUAGCGGUGAAAUGCGUAGAUAUUAGGAGGAACACCAGUGGCGAAGGCGGCUUGCUGGACUGUAACUGACGCUGAGGCACGAAAGCGUGGGGAGCAAACAGGAUUAGAUACCCUGGUA